rnacentral:rRNA from 1 species
CAGCAGCCACGGUAAUACGUAGGGUGGGAGCGUUAAUCGGAAUUACUGGGCGUAAAGCGUGCGCAGGCGGUUAUAUAAGACAGAUGUGAAAUCCCCGGGCUCAACCUGGGACCUGCAUUUGUGACUGUAUAGCUAGAGUGCGGUAGAGGGGGAUGGAAUUCCGCGUGUAGCAGUGAAAUGCGUAGAUAUGCGGAGGAACACCGAUGGCGAAGGCAAUCCCCUGGACCUGUACUGACGCUCAUGCACGAAAGCGUGGGGAGCAAACAGGAUUAGAUACCCCCGUAGUCCCUGUCUCUUAUAC